GAUGAACGCUGGCGGCGUGCCUAAUACAUGCAAGUCGAGCGAACAGACGAGGAGCUUGCUCCUCUGACGUUAGCGGCGGACGGGUGAGUAACACGUGGAUAACCUACCUAUAAGACUGGGAUAACUUCGGGAAACCGGAUCUAAUACCGGAUAAUAUAUUGAACCGCAUGGUUCAAUAGUGAAAUACGGUUUUGCUGUCACUUAUAGAUGGAUCCGCGCCGCAUUAGCUAGUUGGUAAGGUAACGGCUUACCAAGGCGACGAUGCGUAGCCGACCUGAGAGGGUGAUCGGCCACACUGGAACUGAGACACGGUCCAGACUCCUACGGGAGGCAGCAGUAGGGAAUCUUCCGCAAUGGGCGAAAGCCUGACGGAGCAACGCCGCGUGAGUGAUGAAGGUCUUCGGAUCGUAAAACUCUGUUAUUAGGGAAGAACAAAUGUGUAAGUAACUAUGCACGUCUUGACGGUACCUAAUCAGAAAGCCACGGCUAACUACGUG
rnacentral:rRNA from 1 species